rnacentral:rRNA from 1 species
CCUACGGGGGGCUGCAGUGAGGAAUAUUCGUCAAUGGACGAGAGUCUGAACCAGCCAAGUAGCGUGAAGGAUGACUGCCCUAUGGGUUGUAAACUUCUUUUAUAUGGGAAUAAAACGUUCCACGUGUGGGAUUUUGUAUGUACCAUAUGAAUAAGGAACGGCUAACUCCGUGCCAGCAGCCGCGGUAAUACGGAGGAUCCGAGCGUUAUCCGGAUUUAUUGGGUUUAACGGGAGCGUAGGUGGAUUGUUAAGUCAGUUGUGAAAGUUUGCGGCUCAACCGUAAAAUUGCAGUUGAAACUGGCAGUCUUGAGUACAGUAGAGGUGAGCGGAAUUCGUGGUGUAGCGGUGAAAUGCUUAGAUAUCACGAAGAACUCCGAUUGCGAAGGCAGUUCACUGGACUGCAACUGACACUGAGGCUCGAAAGUGUGGGUAUCAAACAGGAUUAGAUACCCCUGUAGUC